rnacentral:rRNA from 1 species
UGGGGAAUUUUGGACAAUGGGCGAAAGCCUGAUCCAGCAAUGCCGCGUGUGUGAAGAAGGCCUUCGGGUUGUAAAGCACUUUUGUCCGGAAAGAAAUCCUUGGCUCUAAUACAGUCGGGGGAUGACGGUACCGGAAGAAUAAGCACCGGCUAACUACGUGCCAGCAGCCGCGGUAAUACGUAGGGUGCAAGCGUUAAUCGGAAUUACUGGGCGUAAAGCGUGCGCAGGCGGUUUGCUAAGACCGAUGUGAAAUCCCCGGGCUCAACCUGGGAACUGCAUUGGUGACUGGCAGGCUAGAGUAUGGCAGAGGGGGGUAGAAUUCCACGUGUAGCAGUGAAAUGCGUAGAGAUGUGGAGGAAUACCGAUGGCGAAGGCAGCCCCCUGGGCCAAUACUGACGCUCAUGCACGAAAGCGUGGGGAGCAAACAGGAUUAGAUACCCUGGUAGUCCACGCCCUAAACGAUGUCAACUAGUUGUUGGGAUUCAUUCCUUAGUAACGUAGCUAACGCGUGAAGUUGACCGCCUGGGGAGUACGGUCGCAAGAUUAAAACUUAAAUGAAUUGACGGGGUCAUAGCUGUUUCCU